CCAAUGGGAUUACUUCUUCCAUGUGAGGGUGAAGAGGUGACCCUUCUGGAUAAGAUGAAGUUGCCACUUACAAGUGCUCUCCCUCCAUUUACUGUCAAAAACCAGCGAUUUACCUCCUUUUGCCUCCCUGCCACGGAUUCCUGAUUUGUACAUUUUGGACUCACCCUGGAUUGGAACCUCACCUUUUGGACUGCCCUCCUUCCACAUCGUUCUCCGCCUGCAACAUCGACUCUGCACGCCUCCACCCAUGCCGCAGCCCCUUCCCCUCCUUGGAGCUGCUUCAUGGACUUUUGAAUUAAACUCUAGUUCACAGAUUAGGCUUCACGUUUGAACUUUUCAGGUUUUGCCUUAUAGUUCACAGUUCAUAGUCGACACCUUAAAGUUUGGUCCACUUUGUAAACAAAGCACUGCUUUCACAUCAAUCUGUGCCUCAGUCUGUGUCUGCAUUUGAGUCCUUGUACCUGGUCUGGCCUCCCGGCUGUGCCAUUUAUAUAUUCAGCCUUCUGUCUCUCGGUGUAGCUGGCCUGUACCACUACACUUGCUGUCUUUGGAGCAAGUGCCCCCUUCCUUCUUUCACACAAUGGAUUCUCAGCAUGGCUGAAGACUCGGAUCCCACAUAGCAACAGGCCAUUAAUAAUUGAUGAAAUUAUGGUAAAUGGCCUGUAUUUGUAUAGCGCUUUUCUAGUCCCUAAGGACCCCAAAGCGCUUUACACAACCAGUCAUCCACACAUUCACACACUGGUGAUGGCAAGCUACAUUGUAGC